GGAAGGAUCAUUAACACGUAUCCACGUAUCAACCAACUGUGAACUUGUUUUCAAUUCUCCCUGAUGUUUCACGACAUCAGGCAAACACCCAAUCAUAAACCUAUAUCACAACCUUUUUUGCUAGUUGACUUUUAUAUGUUGUUUGUCUUUCGUACUUCAUUGUACUGAAGCCUCACACACGUUGAUUUAUUUGAACGUUAAAAUUACAACUCUUAGCAAUGGAUAUCUUGGUUCUCGCAACGAUGAAGAACGCAGCGAAAUGCGAUACGUAAUGCGAAUUGCAGAAUUCAGUGAAUCAUCAAAUCUUUGAACGCAAAUUGCGCUCUUGGGUAGCCCUAGGAGCACGCCUCUCUCAGUAUCGGUUCAACAACCUCUCAGCAGCGUACUGAAUUUAUUCGGUAUGUGUUAGCUGGAUAAUGAGAGUCUGACUUUCACGAGUCAGUCUCUUUAAAUACAUCGAGUGAGCCUUCAUAUUCUUUAACGCGUGUGUCUUCGGAUGCACAAGCUGGUCUUCGACUGGUUGUUUGAGAGUGACGUGAAUACUGACCCUUGUGGUCUCUCAUUUACGUGUAACUUUUCGACAGCUACUAAGGUUGAUUACUAGUGUUUCAGAAAUAGAACGGUCUCAUGUUAAGCGGGUAAAACUGCAAUCGGCUAUAGUAAUAUGGUCUGAAUUUUGAUCUGAGAUGAAGCGAGACAACCCCCUGAAUUUAAGCAUAUUAAUAAGGGGAGGAAAAGAAACUAACAAGGAUUCCCUUAGUAACGGCGAGUGAAGCGGGAAGAGCUCAAUUUGAAAAUCGACUACCUAAGCGGGUCGUCGAGUUGUAGCCUAGAGACGUACUAUCAGCUGAGACCUGGGUAUAAGUUCUUUGGAAUGAGGCAUCAUAGAGGGUGAGAAUCCCGUAUAUGACCCAAAGCUUUCAGCGUACGAUGUAUGUUCAUCGAGUCGAGUUGUUUGGGAUUGCAGCUCUAAAUGGGUGGUAAGUUUCAUCUAAAGCUAAAUAAUGGCGAGAGACCGAUAGCGAACAAGUACCGUGAGGGAAAGAUGAAAAGAACUUUGAAAAGAGAGUUAAAAGUACUUGAAAUUGCUAAGAGGGAAGCGCUGGCAACCAGUGUUUACUCGUCGUUCAUCGCUAUCAGCCCCACUGGAUUGUGUGUUGUAGUUGGAAACUCUACUCGCGCAGUCGAAAGGGUGGUUGGUGGUUUAGGGCGGCGAGUUAGUCAAGAUUCAUUCGAUGCUGUGGGAGAAGGUAGUGAGAAAGGUAGGAGACUUCGGUCUCUGUUAAGUCUCAUUACUCUACCUCGGCUUGGAUGGAGGAAGUAAUAGUGCGCUGCUUGCGGCUUAGUCCCAUGCUCCUGCAAUCCCAAUCGGCUUGAUAGCAAUGCUAUCCUGUUGAGGAAGUGGUUGUACUGGGUAUGGUGACUCUAUGUGCUAUCACGAUCUUGUACGAAAUGGUUGUCAUCGACCCGUCUUGAAACACGGACCAAGGAGUCUAACAUCUAUGCGAGUAUUUGAGUGAAAAACUCUGAUGCGCAAUGAAAGUAAAGGCAGCUUCGGCUGCUGAGGUAGGAAUCCGGUCAAACGGAGGCACUAUCGACCGAUCAUCACUUGUGAAAGAUUUGAGUAAGAGCAUAUCUGUUGGGACCCGAAAGAUGGUGAUCUAUGCCUGAACAGGGUGAAGCCAGGGGAAACUCUGGUGGAGGCUCGUAGCGAUACUGACGUGCAAAUCGUUCGUCUGAUUUGGGUAUAGGGGCGAAAGACUAAUCGAACCAUCUAGUAGCUGGUUCCCUC
rnacentral:misc_RNA from 1 species